AUCCACAACAAUGAGACACAGCAGAGGAAAUUUUGGGAUUAUGUACAUGAGAUCUUCAUGAAACGGAAUAAAAAUCUCUAACUGCCUUCAUGUAAGAGCUGUUAACUUGGAAGACUGCGUUACUGUGGUACCUGAGGCACAUCCACCUUUAGUGAAUACUCUAUGAUUGAUGUUUUCACUGAUUCUCUUGCCCUGUAUUGGGAAUUGGAACCUUGGGUUCUGAUAAUACCAGGCAAGUACCCCUAGGCCCUCUCCACCUGAAUGGUAUGGAGCUAGUAUCUCAGCCUGUGGUAAGAUAGCUUCUCCUUAAAGAGAAGCAGAAGCCAGAAGCACCCAUUUGAUGACUCAAGUACACUUCUCAUGUCUGUAGUCAUUUCAUCAUUUUAAAUAUGGACAGGAUGGUUCAGGCUAUGAUCUAUAAAACUUCCGUAAUUUAGUACCUUUAAAUAGUGUCCAUUCCUCCUCUUAUCAGCCGGCACACUGGUUGGGAGGCAAAGCCUUAUGUGUGGGUGUGUUGUUCUGUUUUUCUGCCUUUUUCUCCCUUUUGAGAUAGGUCUCACUACAUGGCCCAAACCAACAUCCAAAGCCUAGGCCUCAAUGACAGUACCUGCCUCAGCUGCUAAGUAGCAGGGGCUGCAAGUAUACAAUACUAUGCUCAGCUCUUCACGUUACUUUAAAAAAAAAAUACUUGCACUGUCUUUAAUAUCAGAUGUCUUUUAAGUAGCUUGCUCUUUCUGGCUUUGGGCGAUUUCCCACAAACUGGAAAGACUGACAAACAUUUACAUCAUUCUUACUGCGUGGUUUUCUUAUUUAGGUAUAUUUGGAAUUCUUUCUCUUACGAACAGAUUGAGUAGCUAAUAUUGGCAUGAUAUCAGUUCAGUGUAUUGCCUUGUUCUAGGGCUGGAAAGCGCCAUUCAGUCCACUACCCACAUUCUCUCAUGUUCUUCCAGAUAACGUUUAUGGUGCGGAGUCACUGGUUUUGUGGUUCUGGGAAGGCAAGCAUUCUAUAAAUUGAGUUAUAGCUUCAACUCUAAUACUGAGGGGUUUUGUGUAUAUAUGUGGUUUUUUUGUGUUUGUUUUUUAAUAAAGACAGCCCGAGGCCCCCAGUUCAAACAGAUUGAAGAAAGCAAGGGAUUUAAGUCACCCUUAAGUGCUUAGCGAAAUAAAAACUUUAGAUUUGAGGCUGGAGAGAUGGCUCCACUCUUAAGAGCACUGGCUACUCUUCCAGACCACCCAAGUUUGAUUCCUAGCAUCCACAUAGAGCUGACAACUGUCUGUAACUUCAGAUGCAAGGGUAUUACAUAUAUAUAUUCAAUCAAAACUCCCAUAUAAAUCCACACAACCAAAAGUGUAGGUUUGAAGAUAUAGAUGAACUGCCUACUGCUUACCAGGAGCUUUUUCUGGGGCGAUCAGAAAGAAUGCCUUAGGCCUUAGAGCUAUGCUUAUUGUAUUGAUGAAUUAUCACUUGAGAAGUCUCUUGGUUUAUCAGUGCAUCUGAUUGCAAACUACAGAUAUCUCUGAAUCUAUGUCUAUACAGAUAGAUACAUACAUGCAUGUUAGAUGCUUUAAGCAACCAGGCUUCAUGGUUAAUACUGUGAUAUCUAAGGAUGUGACCAGGUUGGAAUUACAUUGCUAAAGUUUUGUUUUUCAUUGUGUGUGUUGCUGGCGAUGGAUCCUAAGGUUCUGUGCAUGCUAAGAAUGUGCUCUGUCUGGCUCUGCCUCUGAGUUAUGUCCCCAGAUCUUUAUUUUGUUCUUUAGUAAAAAAUGCCUUCAGUAGUAGCAUGGAAAUUGCUUAACCUAUUUUUGUUUGUUUGUUUUGGAUUUUUUUUUUUUUGGGGGCAGAGAACAAGGUGUUAAAAAAAAGGGGGGGGGGGUGUCCAUGAGUGCUAGGCCAACUUGUGUUACAACAACAAGACUGUCAAAAAAAAAAAGUUAAAAUUUUAUAGUAGAGAUGGGCAUGGUUGUGCAUGCUUUCAGUUUCAGUAUUCUAGCACUCUGGGAGGCAGAGACAGGUAGCUGGAGUGUUCCAGGCUAACCAGAGCUCUAUGUUGAGACCCCAUCUCAAUAUAUAAAUAAACGUAAAUAUCAUAGUAUAAAACAAGUCAGAGAGCUCUGAUUCCCAAUCAAGUCAUCAAUUUCAGUGCAGUGCUGAUUUCUACAGCAAAGUAAGUAUUAUACAAGUACAAGCCUAAAUCAGAACUCAGGUGUGCUGUGCACCAGGAAGGGUAAGUGACGCUUAUGCAGGUGCAGGGUCCUGGCCAUUCCACCACCUCACUGGAACACUCACCUCUCUAGGACCUUUAUGCAAAGUGAGCGUGCUGGUCACGAAUGGUUGUUGCUGGAGAGUGAGGCCUGCUUUUUGCUCAGUGCUUGCCAGACUCCUUUAUCCCUCUCAUUAUAUAAAUAAUCAUAAAAGGCCAGGGCAAAUCAGGUGCUCCAUUUCCACAAGGGAAAGAACUAUGAAUAACCACACAGUACUAUACCAGUGAAAAAGCUUUACUGUCAUAUAAAAACAGCAACAAGAAGUUUUUCAGGUUUGCGGCUCAGCUACAAGGCAUACAGCACCAUCACUUGCUGCAGGUUAUGGGUACUCAUGGUACCCAUGGGUACUCGUGGUAGAGGUUUGUAAUAGUCUUUUAUUUACUACCAGAGUAUGGCUAGAACACAAGUGUUACUGUGUUUAUUUUAUCAUCUCAGGUUUCAUUUUAUAUAAUAAACUGAUUUUUCCAGUGUCUUCUACAUGGUUUCUUUAUUACAUUUGUUUAUUAUGUGUAUGUGUGUAGUAGCUUGUACUACCCUGUACUUGUAUAUAUCAUAAGAGUCAGUUUUCUUUCUGCCAUGUGGUCUCAAGGACUAAACUCAACAGACUUAGUGGCAGCACCUCUAUUCACCAAGUGAGCCAUUUUGCUGGCCUGUAUUUGCUUAUUUUGGGGGAUUGAGGUGAUAAAAUUGGAGACUUGUAAAAAAUAAUGGUAAACACUUUUCCUUUCUCAUUUCAUUAUUUUAUUUAUUUUUUGUUUGUUUCAUUAAGGCAGGGUCAUGUUAUAUGGCCCUGGCUUGCCAAGUACUCAUUAUAUGUAACUUAGGCUGGUUUCAAACUCUUUAAUCUGUCUCCUGCCUCAAUUUCCCAAGUGCUUGGAUUGUAGGCAUAUGCCACGCCUGGCAUAGCUAUUUUUAGCAUGAACAAGAUACACAAAGGCUCGUCUCAUUUUAAACAUUUAAGAGAUAUUUAAAAAUAUUUUUCCGUGCUCGCUUUGGCAGCCUAUAUACUAAAACGGGGACGAUACAGAGAAGAUUAGCAUGGCCCUUGCACAAGGAUGACACGCAAAUUCGUGAAGUGUUCCAUAGUUUUGUAAAGUGGAUAAAAAAGAUUUGUUAGCAAAUGCAAAUUAAAGUUUG
rnacentral:lncRNA from 1 species